CCUACGGGGGGCUGCAGUGGGGAAUAUUGGACAAUGGGGGGAACCCUGAUCCAGCCAUGCCGCGUGUGUGAAGAAGGCCCUCGGGUUGUAAAGCACUUUCAGUGAGGAAGAACGCCUGGUGGUUAAUACCCAUCAGGAAAGACAUCACUCACAGAAGAAGCACCGGCUAACUCCGUGCCAGCAGCCGCGGUGAUACGGAGGGUGCGAGCGUUAAUCGGAAUUACUGGGCGUAAAGCGCGCGUAGGUGGCUUGAUAAGCCGGUUGUGAAAGCCCCGGGCUCAACCUGGGAACGGCAUCCGGAACUGUCAAGCUAGAGUGCAGGAGAGGAAGGUAGAAUUCCCGGUGUAGCGGUGAAAUGCGUAGAGAUCGGGAGGAAUACCAGUGGCGAAGGCGGCCUUCUGGACUGACACUGACACUGAGGUGCGAAAGCGUGGGUAGCAAACAGGAUUAGAUACCCUUGUAGUC
rnacentral:rRNA from 1 species